rnacentral:tRNA from 8 species
GCGGCUGUAGCUCAGUUGGAUAGAGUAUCUGGCUACGAACCAGAGGGUCGUGGGUUCAAUUCCUGCCAGCCGCACCA